UGGGCCUCAGGUCCUCUUGACUAUUGGCCAGAGAUGUCAAUUCCUUCCCAUGCAGGCUGCUCCACUGGGCAGCUCCUAACCUGGCAGCUGGCUUCCUCCAGAGCCUGGGCUCAGAGAGAGAAGAAAGGUAUCCAAGAUGGAAGCCAUAGUGUCUUAUGACAUCAUCUCAAAGUUAUUCUGCCACCACUUUGCCAUCUUCCAUUCUCGAGAAGGACAUCAAUGAGCCCAGCCCAUGCUCAACGAAGGGCACGAACACUAGAAGAUGGGGCUCCCUCGGAGCCACCUGAGAGGCUGCCUACAGCACACUCCAGGAUGGAUGAUCAUGGACUCAGAGCUUCGGAGUUUGCUGGUAUGCACCUGGGCCUCCAAGAGGAAAAGUAUGGACACCACAUGUGCUGAGGCACUAGGACACUUCACGCUCAUCUCUGCCUGCCUUUGUCAUAACUCCACCACAUGUGCACAACCCCCACUCUCCACGCAAAGCCUCAGCACCUCCAACAGAUCACUGCCUAUACUCAGUGUUUUUCUGGCCAGAGAACUCAGAGACAGCCCUGUGACCCCCACUCCUGAGGAGGUGUCUGAGACAUGGAGACAGAGGAACAGCAGAUCAGGAAGUCAAGGACCAAUUUAUUAUUAGCGGGGUGUGAUGGAGAAUUCUCUGGCAAGCCAGGCUGGAGAAUACAGCUGAAGCCCAAAGUCUCAGUGGGACCCGCUCUCCUCCUGCUGAAGGAAGCAUGAGGGGCUUUCCCCGCCCCAUCCUGCUGAGGCAGCCCUGUCCCAGUUCACCUCUCCUGCCUCGAGAGUGGGAAUAAAACUCCACAGGAAAGGAAAGCCACAUUCAUAUUUGUGACCUUUUACACAGGGACUAUGUCCACUGGUAAACAGGGUCCUGGAAUCAGA
rnacentral:lncRNA from 1 species